rnacentral:rRNA from 1 species
UACAGAGGCCUCGAGCGUUAGGCGGAAUCACUGGGCUUAAAGCGUGUGUAGGCGGACCCCUAAGUACCUUGUGAAAUCCCACGGCUCACCCGUGGAACGGCUGGGUAUACUGGGGGUCUUGAGCCACCUAGGGGCGAGUGGAACAAAUGGUGGAGCGGUGAAAUGCGUAGAUAUCAGGAGGAACACCUGCGGUGUAGACGGCUUUCUGGACCAUUGUUGACGCUGAGACACGAAAGCGUGGGUAGCAAACAGG